UACGGAGGGAGCUAGCGUUGUUCGGAAUUACUGGGCGUAAAGGGCGCGUAGGCGGUCCUGAUCGUCGGAUGUGAAAGGCCUGGGCUCAACCUGGGAACUGCAUCCGAUACGGCGGGACUGGAGUGUGGGAGAGGUUGGUGGAAUUCCCAGUGUAGAGGUGAAAUUCGUAGAUAUUGGGAAGAACACCGGUGGCGAAGGCGGCCAACUGGACCACAACUGACGCUGAGGCGCGAAAGCGUGGGGAGCAAACAGG
rnacentral:rRNA from 1 species